rnacentral:lncRNA from 1 species
ACACGGUCUACUGAGUCCUCAGAACCUGUUCCUCUGUCACUUCUAGAACAUUGCCAGGGUCCAGGCAGCUGCUUGCCCCCGGCCUGGCUUCCGGCCUGCAGCCAGAGCAGACACACAGCGCCUGGCCCUUGAAGGGCCCCACUAGGCUAUGGUUCUGUGAUUAUCUUAAGCUUCAACCUUUUAACAAUAUUCCCUCGGGUUCUGGCUGGAAUCUCCAGUGAGUGGGCAGUCACCAAAACCGAACAAACUGGGCAAAGUCGCCUAAGAUAACACAGCUGACUGGAAACCAGCCCUGAUCUGCAGAGCCCAGGCUGUCAGCCCCAGCUGUGGGAUGACACCCUGUGUCCCUGGUCCCUCUCACAUUCAGCCAAUAAGAAAGGUGGCAGGAUGCUGAAGGAGAAGCGGUCAUGUUGGUGGAAAGAGCUGGGAUGAGAUGUUCCAGGCCGACAGGCAGGAAGUGAGCAGAGAAGCCUUUGGAGGUCUGAGUGCCCAGCAAAUACCCACGGGGCUGCUUGGCCUCUACCAUCCAAAACACUUAAGACGCGGUGUGCGUCUCGGUGCGCAUGCGCAUCAGAGCCGACGGGGCUGAGACAGAUGAGCUGAAAGGUCCCCUAAGGGACUUCCACGGUGGCAUCCUGCCCAGGUACACAUCACCCAGUUUGCUGUCGCUCAGGUAUGGCAUUGGUGGCUGGCCUGAGUUUUCUGUGGUUCGUUGCUAAUCUAUUCAAGAAUGUAUCUGCACUAGUGUGUCUUAUGUCAGCUCGACACAGGAUAGAGCCAUCUGAAUGAUGGAUCCUCAGUUGAGAAAGUUCUUCAUAAUAUGGGGCUGCAGGGAAGCCUGUAAGGCAUUUCUUAGUGAUUGAUGGGGGAGGGACCAGACCAAUAUGGGUGGUAUCACUUCUCAGUUAUUGUUCUAAGGGGUAAGCAGCAUCCCUCUGUAGCCUCUGUAUCAGCUCCUGCCUCCAGAUUCUUGCCCUGUGUAUUUCCUGUCCUGACUUUCUCUAGUGAUGAACAGUAAUAUGGAUGUGUAAGCCAAAUAAACCCUUUCCU